AUACGGAGGGUGCAAGCGUUAUUCGGAAUCACUGGGCGUAAAGGACGCGUAGGCGGGUUGGCAAGUCAGAUGUGAAAUCCUACAGCUUAACUGUAGAACUGCAUUUGAAACUGCUAACCUAGAGUAUGGGAGGGGGAGAUGGAAUUAGUGGUGUAGGGGUAAAAUCCGUAGAUAUCACUAGGAAUACCGAAAGCGAAGGCGAUCUCCUGGAACAUAACUGACGCUAAGGCGUGAAAGCGUGGGGAGCAAACAGGAUUAGAAACCCGAGUAGUCC
rnacentral:rRNA from 1 species